GUUUUGAAGUCUCACUCUCCAUAUAAGAUCGAGAGCUUCUUCAAAGAAGAACCCAAGGCUUAGCUAAUUUAUCGAUGUCUAGGAAGUUCAUGGAAAAAUAUAAUUAAAAGAUGCUGUGGAUUUUCCAUGGACUGUUAGAAGUCCGCUUGUUGUGUGUUUACGGGUUUGAGUAAAGAGUAGGGGUUUAUUUGAAGAAAGAGCACCAAGGACACUUGGGCUGCGUGGGGUGUUUCCUGUGGACAUCUGUCCUGACCUGGAAUACACUGGCAGUAGAUGAAGUUGUUACCUGGGUCUUUGCUGCUGUCGUGGUCUCUUCCUUUCCCUUGGCUCCCAAUCUAGACUGCCUUAUAGUGGCAGUUUAUUCUCUUCAUCCCCUUUU